rnacentral:rRNA from 1 species
GACGAACGCUGGCGGCGUGCCUAAUACAUGCAAGUAGAACGCACAGUUUAUACCGUAGCUUGCUACACCAUAGACUGUGAGUUGCGAACGGGUGAGUAACGCGUAGGUAACCUGCCUGGUAGCGGGUGAUAACUAUUGGAAACGAUAGCUAAUACCGCAUAAUAUUGAUUAUUGCAUGAUAAUUGAUUGAAAGAUGCUAUUGCAUCACUACCAGAUGGACCUGCGUUGUAUUAGCUAGUAGGUGAGGUAACGGCUCACCUAGGCGACGAUACAUAGCCGACCUGAGAGGGUGAUCGGCCACACUGGGACUGAGACACGGCCCAGACUCCUACGGGAGGCAGCAGUAGGGAAUCUUCGGCAAUGGACGAAAGUCUGACCGAGCAACGCCGCGUGAGUGAAGAAGGUUUUCGGAUCGUAAAGCUCUGUUGUAAGAGAAGAACGGGUGUGAGAGUGGAAAGUUCACACUGUGACGGUAGCUUACCAGAAAGGGACGGCUAACUACGUG